GACACAGCGGAGAUGGCGCGUGUGCUGAAAGCCGCGGCCGCCAACGCCUUAGGUGAAUACCGGGCGCCAGCACAGGUCGCCGUGGGUCAGGGCAUGUGGGAACGGAGGCCAGGGAGAGAAGGAGGCCUCAAUGUGGCCAAAGCACCUUGAUGAUGCGCUCUGUCCCCUGGGGCGCAUUCUGCGGCCACUGCCGGCACCUGCAGAGGGUACCUUCCAGAAACGCCUCAGCUUAGCGCGGGGAUGGCCUUCUCGUGCAUGAGUCCCACUGCCACCCGGGAGCUGUGCGCCCUGGGCGCAGCACCUUCCAGUUUGUGGGCUGGAGAGGCGGGGGGAUCUUGCCCAGCGGGUCCCACAGGACAGGGACGGAAGUAAAUGGAAGCCGGUAGACUGGCUGCUGUAAGUUGAUCUGGUGCCUCGGUCACUCAUGGCUUCUUUCUUCUCUGCCAGCUCUGUCUUCUCUACACUUCCUCUGGAGGAGGAGGCCUUGACACAAUUACAUAGACGGGGUUUCACCGCGUUAGCCAGGAUGGUCUCAAUCUCCUGACCUCGUGAUCCACCCGCCUUGGCCUCCCAAAGUGCUAGGAUUACAGGCGUGAACCACGGUGCCCGGCCGAUUCUUAUCAUCUUAAGAUUGAAGGUUUAUGGUCAAAAUGCUAGUUGAGAAGUUACUGGGUAUGACUUCUAGUAUCCUGUUGAACAGAAGAGGACACAAUUGGAGAAACUGGUUAUUUUGCCAAGGCUUUGACUGGAAAGGUCCAGGAGCACCAAGUUUAUCUUGGGACCUUAAGAGGAGAGGAUCACCCAACUAACAGACUAACUCUACUUGUUCCUGUUAACCAACCAGCAGUCUCCAGCUGCAGCUCAGAAAGAACAAGAGAGAUGGGACACAAUUGAAGACAUUGGUUAUUCUACCAAGGCUUUGACUGAAAUGACAUAUAUUUUGACACACAGGAGGUUAUUUCUGAGAGAAAGCCAGCCUGGUGGACUGGAUGAAAGUCACUGUAAGAUCUGUUGAUCCUGAGAAGAGGGAUUGCACAACUCCACCUGUCAAUGGCAAGUGGAGCACCCAGAUGAUGCAGCUGAUAGACUUCCUAUGCAAGCCAUGGGGGAUUAGCCUGAUGACGGGAAUAUUAACCUUACUUUUUGACUUUGGGUUUUGGCUAUUAAGUUGUUUAAAAGGGUUUUUAGAAUUAAUGGGUGCCUACCCACCUUCAUUCCUGUCUGGCCUAACAUGUUUACUUGGAUAUAAGUCUUUUCACUCUAAGUCUCUUGGCCAUAGGUAGCCUCACUGAGAGACAGGUUGGACUCAGGCCAAGUAGCCACAGUAACCUGGCAAUAAUAUGGUACAAAAUAAAAGCUUUGCCACUGAUGCUCUGUCUUGCGUGUCUUGACCAUGAGGGGUCAAACUAAAAUAAAGUCCUAAGUGCCCUACUGACUGAAUGGACCUACUUGUGCCAAAGGGACCACAGUUGUCAAGACACAACCUUACCUAGGAAUAGGUCUUUUCUCUUGCUUUGCUGAAGACACAAUAGCCCCCCUAAAGAACCAAGUCCUGCUGAAGACCUGAAAAUCCCACCUGGGUGAAGGCCAGCUGCAACCACAAUGGUCCAGUCCUUUUGAGAUGCUGCUGAUCACCCCCUCAUCUGUCAAGUUAGCCAGCAUUAAACCAUGGAUUCAUAACACUUGGUUAAAACCUGUCCCUCUGGGAUCCCUACAGGAAAAACAAUCACAGUCUUAACCUCAGUGAUUGGCUUUCUGUAAGGCAAACAGUCACAGGAUUUGUGUAUGUGAUUUUUAGCAAGUUCAGCCUUGUAGCUACUGCAGAUGAGAGUCUUUUUAAGAGCACAGAUAAAUUUUUCUGGUCACUUACGCUGCACUUGAGCUAGGAAUUCUAAUCCCUGAUAUCACUCUUUCAGCACUUUGUCCAGUAACUUUAGAAACAACCAGCCAACCUCAUUAAUCAUGUGUCACUUAACAAUGGAGAUACAUUCUUUCAAAUGUGUUCUUAGAUGAUUUCGUUAUUGUGUGACAUCACAGAGUGUACUCACACAAACCUAGAUGGCAUAGCCUACUACAAACCUAGGCUGCAUAGUAUAGCUUAUUGCUCCUAGGCUACAACCUGUAAAGCAUGUUACCAUAUUGAAUGCUGUAGGCAAUUUUAACACAAUGUUAAGUAUUUGUGUAUCUAAAAAUGUCUAAAUAUAGAAAAAGGAAUGCAUUGAACUAUGACCUUAUGACAGUGUAUCACUAGGCAACAGAAGUUUUUUAGCUCCAUUGUAAUCUUAUGGGACUACUCUUAUAUAUGUGGUCUGCUGUUGAUCAAAACCUCAUUAUGUGGCACAUUGCUGUAUAUUUGUCAUUUCUCCAAAAGUGUUCAGAAUUAUAUGCACAUUGAUACAGCUUCUUGCUUCUUCUAAGUGUUUGAUUAGUAGUAUCCGAUGAAGAUAUUUGUAUAUCUCUAUUGCCAGAUCAUGUCAUAGACUAUCUGUGUUUUCUUUACUACUAUAAAUACAGUGAUUGGUGCCUUUAAAUCUAAUCAGAUUAGAGGGUCAAUUCCAGAAACCCCAAAAUCAAUUCAGAAAACUCAUUCUUAAAAUUCUGUUCCUCCAGAACCACUCUUGUUACAAAAAUCAGUGUUCUCCACAGAAACAGAGCCAAUAGGAGAUAGACUGGAUAGAUAGAUAGACAGAUAGAUAGAGAGAUAGAUGAUAGAUAGAUAGAUAGAUAGAUAGAUAGAUAGAUAGAUAGAUAGACAGACAGACAGACAAGAUUGCAAUCCUGUGUACUGGGAGACCUGAUGGUAUAAAUUCCAACCUGAGCCUGAAGGCAGAACGAGACUCAUGUCCCAGCUUAAAGACCUGCUGGGAGAGAGUGAAUUUGCUCUUAAUCAUCUUCUUGUUUCUGUUCAGGACUUCUUGGAUUGUAUCAGGCCCACCCACACUGGAAAGCACAAUCUUCUUAGUCACCAAUUCAAAUGUUUAGCUCAUCCACAAACAUGCUCACAGGCACACCCAGAAUAAUGUUUAAACAAAAAUCACAACCCAUGAUUCAGUCUAGCUGACACAUGAAAUUAAUUCUCACAUGCAUUUAAACCAUUUUAUUGAGUAUUUGGUCCCAUGCUGGAGUAAUUUUGCAUUAACCUGAUCAUCACUGACAUUGAGUGCAUUUUCAUAUGUUUAUUGACAUUUCAAUAUGCACUUUUGUAAUGUGUCUACUGGAAAGUCUACAUUUUUCUUAUUGAUUUUAGGAGUUUUACAAAUAUUAUGCACAUUUGUGGAUAUAUGUAUUAUAAUUAUUCUCUGUCACAAUGUGUCUUGAUUUUUUACUUUCUUUUGAUGAGCCGUAGUUAUUAAUUUUAAUAAAAUCUAAUUUAGCAAUAUUUUGUCUUGAUAAUGUUUUUGCUACUUUUAAGUAAAUGUUUGACAAAUCCCAAUGUCAUGAAGAUACUCCUCAAUGUUUUCUGCGGAGACAGAAGUUAAAACAUAGAUCGCUGUAAUGUGUGUUACAAUAACUGCACAAAGAAGAGAGAAAAUGGAGUUACACUGUGGCAAAGUUGCUGUGUUUCAUCAGGCAGACAUCAUUAUAAGCCUAAAGAAGUUUGGGAUAAGUAUAGAUGUAGGUAUAUUCCUAGAACAAAUUCUAGGAAAAUAUGUUGAAAAAAUAGAAUUAGGAAUCAACAAUUGAACUAAAAUAAUACACUACAAAUAUCUGUUAGUAAAGAGGGAGAAAAGAACAAAAAUACAUGAAAAUUACAGAAAACAGCAAUAUGGUAGAUAUAAAUCCAAUAUCAAUAAUUGUAUUAUAUCAAAAGUCAUAAAUGUUCAGACUAGAUUUUUUAAAAAGCAAAGCUGAAGAAUAUGCUGUCUGCACAAGACAUCCUUCAGAUUAAAUGGCACAAAUAGAUAGAAAGUAAAACGAUAGACAAUGUGGACCAUGCAAACAGUAAUGAUGGGAGAGGUGAAGCAACUAUAUGAAUAUCAGACAAAAUACAGUUUAAGACAGUAAAUACUACUACAGACAAAGACAUUUCUUAAUGAUAAAUGAUCACACAUAGAAAGAUAUAACAAUGACAACAUCAUACAUGCUUGAACAAGAGAGUCCCAAAAUACAUGAAGCACAACUGACAAUUAAAAGAAGCAAUAAAGAGUUUAACAAUCGCAGUUAGAUAUCUUAAUAUAUAUCCUCUAGGAGUUGAUUGGAGAAUAGAAAUAAAAUUAGUAAGGAUAUAGAAUAUGUGAACAACACAGUAGCCCAACUCAAUUUGACAUUUGUAGCACAUGACAUCCCAAAACAGCAGAAAUACCCAUUCUUUCUAAGAUAACAUGACACAUUCUCUGGAUAAAUCACAUCCUAGGUCAUAAAACAAGUCUCACUAUAUUUAAAAGGAGUAAUUGUACAAAGUAUGUUCUCUGAUCACAACAUAAUUAGAUUAAAAAUAACUUUAAAUUUAUUUUGGAAAUCAUUUAAUAAUUUAAUUACACAGAUUUUAAUUAAUCAAAAAUCGCAAGUAAAUUAGAAAAUAUUUUCACUGUAAUAAGGAUAAAAACAAAAUAUUACAACCUGUAUGAGACACACCUAAGUAGUUCUCAGAGGGAAAUUUGUAGCUUUAAAUGCUUAUAUGAGAACAAGUAAAACAUCUAAAAAUCAAUAAUAUAAGAUGCCACAUUAUGAAGCCCCAGAAUGAGUAGAAAAUUAACUUCAAGUAAGUAAAAUGAAGGAAAAAAUAAAUAUCAGAACAGAAAUCGUCAAAAUAGAAAACAGAAAAACAAUUA